rnacentral:rRNA from 1 species
GCUUGACUGUAUUUUGAAAUUGAAUUUGAGUUUUUUUUGCGCAGUCUAGGUGGGAGGCAAUGAAAAAGUUUUUUCGGAAACUUUGGAGCCANACAGUGAGAGACCACUCUUUAAAAACUAAAAUUCUAAUGGUGUUUUCUUGAAGCAGAACACUUGACAGUUUUAGGUGGACAGUUUUUUUGGGGCGAAAACCUCCUAAAAAGUAACGGAGGUGUACAAAGGUUCCCUCAAACUGGACGGAAAUCAGUUGAAGAGUACAAAGGCAAAAGGGAGCUUAACUGCAAGACUGACACGUCGAGCAGAGGCGAAAGCCGGUCUUAGUGAUCCGACGGUUCCGUGUGGAAGGGCCGUCGCUCAACGGAUAAAAGUUA